rnacentral:lncRNA from 1 species
UAUGAGGGAGGUAAUGAUAAGGGAAGUUUGAUGAAAAACCUCAAAAGAAGGGGAUUUUUCUAUGGUCUGUAUUAUGUUAAGGAUUGUCCUAUCCAUGACAGUCUGACUACUUUUGUGUCUGAAGUAUGAAUCAGAUGCCACAAGAAUAUAAACAGAAUGUGGAUAUUAACGCCUUAUAGUAUUUAGGUGGUUGGAAUAGAAACCCAAUACAAAAACUCAGAAAAUUAUUGUACCCCAAAAUGCUUACCAAUGGUAUAGAAGUUAUAGUGAUGAUGGACAUUUGCACAACACAUGUUUCCUAUCUACAAAAAAAUUAUUAGGAUCUUUGAUCUAUAUAUGAUCCAAAGAUCUAUCAUAAU